GCCUGGGUGGCUCAGUUGGUUAAGCGUCCGACUUCAGCUCAGGUCAUGAUCUCACGGUUCGUGAGUUCGAGCCUCGCAUCAGGCU
rnacentral:tRNA from 1 species